rnacentral:rRNA from 1 species
UACGGAGGGGGCUAGCGUUGUUCGGAAUUACUGGGCGUAAAGCGCACGUAGGCGGCUUUGUAAGUUAGAGGUGAAAGCCCGGGGCUCAACUCCGGAAUUGCCUUUAAGACUGCAUCGCUAGAAUUGUGGAGAGGUAAGUGGAAUUCCGAGUGUAGAGGUGAAAUUCGUAGAUAUUCGGAAGAACACCAGUGGCGAAGGCGACUUACUGGACAUGUAUUGACGCUGAGGUGCGAAAGCGUGGGGAGCAAACAGG